GGCCCGGCAGCUCAAUUGGCUGAGCAACUGACUGUCUCUCAGAAGGAUGUGGGUUCGAGUCCCAUCCGGGUCG
rnacentral:tRNA from 1 species